rnacentral:rRNA from 1 species
ACGGAGGGUGCAAGCGUUAUCCGGAUUUACUGGGUUUAAAGGGUGCGUAGGUGGGUUUGUAAGUCAGUGGUGAAAUCUCCGAGCUUAACUCGGAAACUGCCAUUGAUACUAUAGAUCUUGAAUUAUCUGGAGGUAAGCGGAAUAUGUCAUGUAGCGGUGAAAUGCUUAGAUAUGACAUAGAACACCAAUUGCGAAGGCAGCUUACUACGGAUAUAUUGACACUGAGGCACGAAAGCGUGGGGAUCAAACAGGAUUAGAUACCCUGGUAGUCCACGCCCUAAACGAUGGAUACUCGACAUCAGCGAUACACUGUUGGUGUCUGAGCGAAAGCAUUAAGUAUCCCACCUGGGAAGUACGAUCGCAAGAUUG